AAGGGAGAAGCUACAGUUAUCAGCAAUUAGUUGUUACCUAAUAGAAAGUGAAUAUUUCACCUGCCUUA
rnacentral:tRNA from 1 species